rnacentral:misc_RNA from 1 species
UCCGCGACUUGUCGCAACACGUGGUGGACGGCUUUGCCGUAGCCGAGCUCGGGGACGAGCGGCGGCUGGAACCCGAUCAGCGUCCGCAGACGGUAUUGGAGGCCACAGCCUUUGUAUUGCGCGAGCUCUGAGAAGCUGAUCUCAAGCACCUGAUCCGAUUCCCCUGGCGUCUCGUCCUUCGGCGGGUCCGGGAGCUUGUCGAGCCACGCGAUCUCGCCGCUGUGGAUUUCUGCGAUGAAUGGCGACGCCGACUGGUUCUGCGGCUUCUUCGCACCGUUCAGCGCGGCGAACGUGGACAGCGACAAGAAGUCACGCGCGCGCGUCGCGGCGACAUAGAAGAGGCGGCGCUCGUCGUUGUGGGUGCCCUCGUAGCGCGUCCUCUCGAAUAGGUCUGUCGAGAUCCGCCACGGUUUCGGGUUUCCGUUCAUGCUCGUCGGAAAGCGCUUCUUGGUGAGACACGGGACGAAGACGAGCGGCCACUCGAGCCCCUUCGACUGGUGGAUCGUCGUCAGGUCGACGGCGUCGAUGU